GUUCAGAUGACGCUGCGCGUGCUACACAUGCAAGUCGAACGGUGAAGCAGAGCUUGCUCUGUGGAUCAGUGGCGAACGGGUGAGUAACACGUGAGCAACUGCCUGGACUCUGGGAUAAGCGCUGGAAACGGCGUCUAAUACUGGAUACGAGACGUGGCCGCAUGGUCAACGUUUGGAAAGAUUUUUUGGUUCAGGAUGGGCUCGCGGCCUAUCAGCUUGUUGGUGAGGUAAUGGCUCACCAAGGCGUCGACGGGUAGCCGGCCUGAGAGGGUGACCGGCCACACUGGGACUGAGACACGGCCCAGACUCCUACGGGAGGCAGCAGUGGGGAAUAUUGCACAAUGGGCGAAAGCCUGAUGCAGCAACGCCGCGUGAGGGAUGACGGCCUUCGGGUUGUAAACCUCUUUUAGCAAGGAAGAAGCGAAAGUGACGGUACUUGCAGAAAAAGCGCCGGCUAACUACGUGCCAGCAGCCGCGGUAAUACGUAGGGCGCAAGCGUUAUCCGGAAUUAUUGGGCGUAAAGAGCUCGUAGGCGGUUUGUCGCGUCUGCUGUGAAAACUGGAGGCUCAACCUCCAGCCUGCAGUGGGUACGGGCAGACUAGAGUGCGGUAGGGGAGAUUGGAAUUCCUGGUGUAGCGGUGGAAUGCGCAGAUAUCAGGAGGAACACCGAUGGCGAAGGCAGAUCUCUGGGCCGUAACUGACGCUGAGGAGCGAAAGGGUGGGGAGCAAACAGGCUUAGAUACCCUGGUAGUCCACCCCGUAAACGUUGGGAACUAGUUGUGGGGACCAUUCCACGGUUUCCGUGACGCAGCUAACGCAUUAAGUUCCCCGCCUGGGGAGUACGGCCGCAAGGCUAAAACUCAAAGGAAUUGACGGGGACCCGCACAAGCGGCGGAGCAUGCGGAUUAAUUCGAUGCAACGCGAAGAACCUUACCAAGGCUUGACAUAUACGAGAACGCUGCAGAAAUGUAGAACUCUUUGGACACUCGUAUACAGGUGG
rnacentral:rRNA from 1 species